UACGAAGGGGGCUAGCGUUGCUCGGAAUCACUGGGCGUAAAGGGUGCGUAGGCGGGUCUUUUAAGUCAGGGGUGAAAUCCUGGAGCUCAACUCCAGAACUGCCUUUGAUACUGAAGAUCUUGAGUUCGGGAGAGGUGAGUGGAACUGCGAGUGUAGAGGUGAAAUUCGUAGAUAUUCGCAAGAACACCAGUGGCGAAGGCGGCUCACUGGCCCGAUACGUGA
rnacentral:rRNA from 1 species